UACGAAGGGGGCUAGCGUUGUCCGGAAUCACUGGGCGUAAAGGGCGCGUAGGUGGCGGCCCAAGUCAACGGUGAAAGCUCGGCGCUCAACGCCGAGUCGGCCGUCGAUACUGGGCUGCUCGAGCACUGUAGAGGCAGAUGGAAUUCCGGGUGUAGCGGUGGAAUGCGUAGAGAUCGGGAAGAACAUCGGUGGCGAAGGCGGCCAGCUGGGCCGUUGCUGACGCUGAGGCGCGACAGCGUGGGGAGCAAACAGG
rnacentral:rRNA from 1 species